GGUGAAGGUGUGUGAGAGCGCCCGAGAUGGCAGAACAAGAGCUACAGGGGCUGGGGUAGAGGUGAUGGGAGAGAAGGAGCAGGGAGCACCGCCUGCAGACACUAGGUACUGCGGGUCAAACUGAAGGACGAUCGAGGGCUGAACCCAGGAAUCAACAAGCCACCCGGAACCAAAUGGCCAGUUCACCACCUGCCACUUGACACCCGCUGGACGAGAACUAAGUGACGGGCAGAAGAGUCAGGGAGCUAGAGUUACGCUAUGCUAAGAGUGGGAAAGAAACAGAGAUUGCCGGGUCUCUUGCGUAAUUGCAUUGUUAGCAUUCUUAUCCACAACAAACUCUUCUCGUGCUCUGAUGCAUAGAAGAUAACAGGUCGUUUUCAGUUUUCAAACAGUCGAGCGACCUUUCCUGAGCUGGAUCUAUGAAGUGCGGCGAGGCUUUGAUGGAGAAAGGAGAUUCGGUUGAAGAGACUCUUAAGAUGGCCCGGGCGCACCUUUUGCAUCUCUCCGCAGCCUGGGAUUCCUGCACUGCGGAACAACUACUGCAUCUGUUCCAUAAGCCUGUCGCCGGUUGACAUUUCUAGGCAAGCAUCAACAUUUACAUUGUAAUUCAAUAGAAGCAGCUACUACAAAGGCGCUUUUAUCCUUGCAGUUUAAUAUGGUUGCCAGGGGAACAACGCAGGAUGAAACUGACUUGUUUGUGUGGUUUUCUCUUCUGCUCCGGAACAGUUCGAAGUAGCCUGAUGUACUUUAUAAUCGCUUGUGGAAGUUCUGACAGGGACCUAGCCUAUCCGUGCGGAUUGUGGAAACACAGGAGGGUUUGGAGAGCUUUGCCACGUCUUACGUCAAGCCAGCACUGGAGCACCGAAGCUGUCAGACCUGACACAACUUCUGUAUUAAAACCUUUGCAGGUCACAUGGUUUGGGGGAAUUAAAUUACGGGACUAGG